UACAGAGGUCUCAAGCGUUGUUCGGAUUCAUUGGGCGUAAAGGGUGUGUAGGUGGCGCGCUAAGUCGGGUGUGAAAUUUCGGAGCUUAACUCCGAAACUGCAUUCGAUACUGGCGUGCUUGAGGACUGGAGAGGAGACUGGAAUUUAUGGUGUAGCAGUGAAAUGCGUAGAGAUCAUAAGGAAGACCAGUGGCGAAGGCGGGUCUCUGGACAGUUCCUGACACUGAGGCACGAAGGCCAGGGGAGCAAACGGG
rnacentral:rRNA from 1 species